UUUCUAUUUCUUUAUGUGCUGUCUGGCCUGCGUGGAACCCAAGCCUGCAGCAAGGGCUGAGCGCAUGGCUGGCUCCUGCUGUACACCUGCAUGGCACGCAGAGCUCAUGAGCAAACAGCUUUGAAUUCAAAGCUCCUCUGUCACACAAACUGCCUUUUAGAGGCUGCUGCAAAUCUUUUUAGAGGCUGCUGCAAAUUGUCUUUCAAGUGCCACGCGUGCACCUUGGCCAGUCACACCGUUGGUUUAAAGGACACAUCUCAUUUUUGGGUUCGUGUUACGGAGGCCUCUUAAAAACAAUUCUUUAUUUUCCUUACAGAAAAGCCUGGUAAUUUAGGCUCAAAACAAACACGUUAAACGCAUUACAAACUGAAAGCAUGCUCUUUGUACUUCCACUACAGCAGCAGGCCAGCUAACCUCAUGCAUAAACACGCAGAUUGGCUAACUCUCUUGUUCUAUAAACAGGAUGCGUUGCACUGAGCGGCGGCAUGGCACCUCUGCUUCAGAAAUACAUUGAGCUUGGCAGGCCCGUGCUCAGGGCAGGGGGAAGGCGUGCACCGCACUGAGAGCAAGCAGAUGGGAUUAGACACAGUUUAAUCACUUAUGUGGGGCUGAGCCGAUUGCCAGGAUCGGAGUGGUACCUGCACAAGCCAGGGUUUGGAAGAGGCUGUCUAUGCGGCACCUGGCCUGCCCGCGCUCCAUGCAGUGUCUGCGCAUCCCUGCUGACCUCAAGGCCGUCGGUCUGUCCUUCUGUCCAUCUGUCUUCCCGUCAGCAAUGGUUGGCUGAUGCUCUGCCAUGAGGAACAUUUAGAGGCCUGAAAGUUUGCAUAAAGAGGAACUCCCAUGGAGUCCCAGACUCAAAAGAGUAAUAUUACCAUUGGUGCACAUCAGGUGAUUUCUCCAGGAUGGCACAGCUGUCUGCCAACGCCAGUGCCUCCAGCACUUGCCUGAAGCACAGCUGGCUGUACACUGAGACCCAGUGUGCACUUCCUACAGCAGAUAGAUCAGAUGCAGAACCAUUUCCUGCCUCAUCUGGAACUCAUGGCAUAGCACAAGUCAGCCAGGGAGUCCCAGUGUGCCAAGUGUCCGCCAGGAUGAAGCUGUGCUCCUGUUUCCGUGAUCGCUUCUGCAACCACAAGGUCUGGAGAAAGCACAGGCCAUGCAGUCCAUCCCUAGCUAUGCACUUGAGGAAGAUGGCAAAGUGGUGUCUGAUAGCACCAGUGCUGCUGCAAAGGAGAACAUGCUAUUGAUGGACACCUACCGUGACUGCCAUGACUGUGCUUUAGAGACAAAACUGGGAGCAGAUGCUGCUUGGCUUAUAGUCAGUUCUCCAAAGCCCGAGGAUAUCCCUUUGCAGAGACAGAAAGAGGCAUUACCCCAUUAGUGGUUCAUUACAGUUUUUGUCUACUGCAAGGCAAACAUGAAUAAAAAAAAAAACCCCUGGGAACUGUUGAGUCCUGGCCUGAACCAUUGAUUGAGCACCUGGGGAAGGAGCUGGUCAGCCCUGGGAGCACAGGUGAAGGCAAUCCAGCUGUAUGACCAGAAGGGGUGGAGCCUGGCUGCACCUCCCUUAGGCCUCAUUUAAGAGCUGACUGCCAAUGGGGAAGGAUAUCUUCCUGGAGGUCUCUCCUUGGUGAAGCUUUCCCAUGCAAACCUGGAAUCUUCUGAUGCAGGGAGACCGGAGGAAGGUUGAGCAGCAAGCACUGUGCAGACCUCCAGCAUCAACAGCACUAGGCAAACACUCCCACUUUACAGACAGAAACUUCAUGGGCCUCAUUCUGAGUCAUCUCUCCUCUCUGAAGUGGUCUGAGAGCUCCCUGAUUCUGCUUCAUCCCAUCAUCCCUUCAUUACCAAUGAUACCCAGCCUGGAACUGCCUGUGCUCCAUGCAAGAGAGACACCCUGAUGUCCACGUGGUGGCCCCAGCUGUCUGGAGACCCUGCACUGGAGGUUCUGAAAGUGCUCCUCUCCCUGCAUGGUUGGGCACGCACUCCUGGCACGUGGUUCCUUCCCUCCUUUGAGGAUCGAGCUAUACCACGGGCAAGGUGUGUUCCACAUGCCUGUACAAGCUCUCUCCAUGAUGCCCUGGCUGGGUCGCCCAACUCACUGGCCUGACUGGGGUUCGGCUCCAUUCAGCACUUUUCUUCCACGGACCUCUUGGACUUUCGUGACGCCAUUUCACCACAAAGACACAAUUCCAGGCAAGAAUUUUCAUUUCACUCCAGUUCUGUAGAGAGCCACAGGUGUCGUCCGCUCCUGGAAGGGCCCAAGAGUCUAUCAUGGGCACAUCCUCCUAUAUGGCCUGUGAUGUUUUACUGGUUGGCACCCCUCCAAGGGGCCGUAGGACACCUCCCACUAUCUCUAAUUUGCUCCACUCACAUACAGAAAAAUACUGGAAACAAGUGCCACAAAGCCUCACUUUUUACAAUAGGUCUCUCCUGUGGGAUCGCACACUUGAUCUUCAUCAUACACCGUGCACUUGACUGGAGUUUCUGCCUGUCCCACACGCCUGCCUUUAUUGCGCUUUCUCAGCCAAGUUCAAGCAAGGAACAGGAGGUCCAAUCCCAGGCCCCAGACAGCUCUGGCUUUUUAAUGCUUUCCCUAUAGGUGAUAACAAGCGAUCUCUUCCUCUCUUGGUUCUGGUUGUUUGGGUGGGUAAUUCCCAAGGCUUGACAUUCCUCUCCUCCUUUGUUUCAGCUCUCAGGACAGCUUUGCAGAUUCUCACUGCUCUACACUCGCCAGGCAGGAUGUCCUUAUUGACACCUCUGCAUAGCUACUGCACAAAAAGAAGCCUAAAACAGCAGUGCCUUGCCCAGCCCUGAGCACAACAGCCUUGAUGGAUGCCUCCUUCCCUUGUCAAGGCUUCACCGGACAGGCUGGACUGUGACGUGACCACUGCAUGUCCUCCUCAGAAAGCCCAGGGUAUGCUCAGAAUAUUUCCUAGCAUAGGAUGCCUCACAGUCUACAACAACAAAUACCAGGCAGCAAAGCACACAUUUAGGCCCACGCUGCCAGGGCAGCCGUGACUAUGGGUCAAAUCUCCAACCAGGCUUGCUCUACCAAAAUACUUCCACAGACCCAUGACAGACACCACACACGAAGGCCCUGCAAAGGGCAUGGAUUAUAUGACCAAAUCACCCUUCCCCAUUCCUACACCAUAACCCCAGGCGUUUCCUGGUACCU